rnacentral:rRNA from 3 species
UUGAGUCUCCUGAAGGAACGUUGAAGACGACGACGUUGAUAGGUCGGGUGUGUAAGCGCAGCGAUGCGUUGAGCUAACCGAUACUAAUGAACCGUGAGGCUUAACCUU